CUUUCGAUAAUUAUGCCACACAUACUUUUUGGUCUUGGAGCCUCGCUUUCAUUAGUAAAUUAUGCAAGCUGAUUGGCACACGAUUCAUGAGAUCAAGGCUCCCAGGCCAAAUGACGUUAUUAUCAGAAGCCUGAAAAGGUUGUAUAUCUACUGUAAUCUAAAAUCUUGUGGUAUGAGGUAGCAGGUAGACUGGCAAUUGUUGGGGCUAUUUUCAUUGGAUCUUGGUCAGAUGUGGAUGGUUUUACUUUCUUCAAAAACUCUUUGCUUGCCUCUUUCAACACAUGAGCACUCAGAAUGGGAAUGUAGCUCAGUAAUUCUUUUUCUCAACAAUCACUGGUUUCCAUCAGUUUUAGCUCUCUUUAUACUCCAACGACGACGGCUCCAUACUCCAUACCGAUAUCCAAAGGGGGCAAAUAUGAUAUCCUAAAGGGGGUUUAAAUAUAUCCAUGGGGUAACUUCAAAAAAUUGCACCGAAGGGGCCCUAAAUCUUUAUAUCCGAAGGGGA